CGCCAGGGACGAAGGGUGACUGACGGUACCUGGAGAAGAAGCACCGGCUAACUACGUGCCAGCAGCCGCGGUAACACGUAGGGUGCGAGCGUUGUCCGGAAUUAUUGGGCGUAAAGAGCUCGUAGGCGGUUUGUCGCGUCGGCUGUGGAAACCUACUGCUUAACGGUGGGCUUGCAGUCGAUACGGGCAGACUUGAGUUCGGCAGGGGAGACUGGAAUUCCUGGUGUAGCGGUGAAAUGCGCAGAUAUCAGGAGGAACACCGGUGGCGAAGGCGGGUCUCUGGGCCGAUACUGACGCUGAGGAGCGAAAGCGUGGGGAGCGAACAGGAUUAGAUACCCUGGUAGUCCACGCUGUAAACGUUGGGCGCUAGGUGUGGGGCUCUUUCCACGGGUUCCGUGCCGUAGCUAACGCAUUAAGCGCCCCGCCUGGGGAGUACGGCCGCAAGGCUAAAACUCAAAGGAAUUGACGGGGGCCCGCACAAGCGGCGGAGCAUGCGGAUUAAUUCGAUGCAACGCGAAGAACCUUACCUGGGUUUGACAUCACUCGAAAACUCGCAGAGAUGUGGGGUCCUUCGGGGCGGGUGACAGGUGGUGCAUGGCUGUCGUCAGCUCGUGUCGUGA
rnacentral:rRNA from 1 species